rnacentral:rRNA from 1 species
ACUACGGGAGGCUGCAGUGGGGGAUAUUGCACAAUGGGGGGAACCCUGAUGCAGCGACGCCGCGUGGGUGAAGAAGCGCCUCGGCGCGUAAAGCCCUGUCAGCAGGGAAGAAAAUGACGGUACCUGAAGAAGAAGCCCCGGCUAACUACGUGCCAGCAGCCGCGGUAAUACGGAGGGGGCAAGCGUUAUCCGGAUUUACUGGGUGUAAAGGGGGCGCAGACGGCGAUGCAAGCCAGGAGUGAAAGGCCGGGGCCCAACCCCGGGACUGCUCUUGGAACUGCGGGGCUGGAGUGCAGGAGGGGCAGGCGGAAUUCCUGGUGUAGCGGUGAAAUGCGUAGAUAUCAGGAGGAACACCGGUGGCGAAGGCGGCCUGCUGGACUGCAACUGACGUUGAGGCCCGAAAGCGUGGGGAGCAAACAGGAUUAGAUACCCUAGUAGUC